UACGGAGGGAGCUAGCGUUGUUCGGAAUUACUGGGCGUAAAGCGCACGUAGGCGGCUUUUUAAGUCAGGGGUGAAAUCCUGGAGCUCAACUCCAGAACUGCCUUUGAUACUGGGAGCCUUGAGUUCGAGAGAGGUGAGUGGAACUGCGAGUGUAGAGGUGAAAUUCGUAGAUAUUCGCAAGAACACCAGUGGCGAAGGCGGCUCACUGGCUCGAUACUGACGCUGAGGUGCGAAAGCGUGGGGAGCAAACAGG
rnacentral:rRNA from 1 species